GUAGGUCUGCAGUAAUUUCCAGAGACCGGAAACCAUAUAUCUCUAUCUCCUCUCGCGCCCGUCUAUAUCUCCUCUCUCCCCUCCUCGCGAUCGUCUCUCUCUACCCAGCUGCAUCUCUCUCUCCUCACUGUGAGCUCAAGCCGCUGGCUGAGUUGGUGUGGUGUUGUUGUCGUACUCGAUCGAUUGUUCCCUUGUUCUCCAGAUCUAUCUUUAGAUCUACUCAGGUGAGGUGUUUAACUCAGAUCUCUUCUCAUGUUCUUGUAUCAUGUUGAAUGAAGAUUAGGAUUGGUUAGUCCUGAUUUCUGUUAGGUUUUCAGAUCAUAAAGGAUGCUAAGAUGUUAGAUGCUAAGAUGUUAGAUGCGUAAAUCAUAUUGCAUAAGAACGAUCAUUCUGCUAAAGGACCCUAAUGGUUUAACUUGUGUUGAUGUGGAUGUUUGAAUGAAUAAUUCCUUGAUUCUUUUAUAUGAUUGUUGGAACCUCAUCUGGGAUUUAGAUGUUGAGCAUACCGGGCGGGUGAUCACGUAGGAGCACAUGAUGGGGGCCGGAAAGAGAUUCAUUGAACGUGCAUAGGUCCUAGAGUUCUAGGUUGAUUGGAGUCAUAAUUUUGUGUUUUUAAUGACUUAGUUCAUUGUACUGUUUGAUUGUGUGAAAUGUUGUUUGUUAGUGGCUAGUUGGUUCUCGUUUCGUAUUGAACAUUAUAGAAGUUCAUGUGGGGAGGCUGGACUAGAAAUUUCCUUAUGGGCAAACUGUAAGAAGAAGUGUCGGAAAUGGUCGGAGUGCAAAAUUUGUUAGACAAUAAAAAAUAGAAAAAUUUACUAGAAUAACAUAGAAAAGUUGUGAUAUUACUAGAGUGUCAUAAAAAAAUUUAAAUUACUAAAAUGUCUUUAACCCCUAGUAAAUUAAAUUAAAGAUCCUUGCUUAACUUUUCUAUUGAAAUUAAUUUUAAUUAACAAAUCCACAUCAAUAAAUAUGUAAUCCACGUCAUAGAAAAUGUAAUCAAAAGAGAGGGGAGAGGGAAAGACAAGCAAUCGGUGUUCUCCUUAAUUUAAACAUCCAAUGUUAAAAGAAAAAAGCCCAGAUUUUCCUUUCACCCUAACCGUGCGAUAUUGUUGUUUAUCGUUAUUUGUCCAAAAUUGUCUGCUUGAACAUGUAUUAUCCAAUAUCAUCUUCGUCGAAAUCGUAUUCUCUACAAGCUUCUUCUCCGAUAUCUUCUUCUCCAGUAUGUUUCGACCCUUUACUUUUAAUUUUUCGAGUUUGUGGUUGAGUUUUAUUUAUGUUGUGGCUCAGUUAGUUUUAUGUUGCGGCUUAUUUAUAUAUGAAAUUGUGGCUGGUUUAUUUCCUAUCAAUCUUGAAAACCUAACUAUAAGCAAUUUGCGUUCCGAGGAGAAAAAGGAAAAUACAUUCCAAAAAACACCCAAGUUGGUAAUUGUGAGGUGUAUUCAUUGAAAGAAACAAGAUUUUCGAUUUGAUUAGUGAACAUCUCCAUCUCAAUCUCACCCGUACCGAAGAGGUAUGUGAUUAUAUUGUUAAAAGCUUGAUUUUUUGUUGCUGCAUGUGGUAGAUUUGGUUUCACUGUGUGCAUAUUUAAAAAAAGUGUGACUUUGGAUUUUGUUUUGAUGUUGUUGGUGGUGGUUAUGAUGAGUAUUGGUUAUUUGAUAAGAGCCACAUGAGAGGAAAAAAAGAUGAUUAGAUCUGAGUGAUAAAGAAACUUAAAUGAGAAGAGAAUGGAGGAGACGAAGAGAAUUGACGGAUUCAACAAAGAUGAUGCGGAUGAGUUCAAUGAAGCUUGGAGACAUGGAAGAGUCAUCACCGGAGUGGUGCAUCAAACCUGUAUUUUGUGUUUUCUCUGUGAGAAACAUAACUCAGCCGUGUACUUUGUAUUUAACUUAUACUAUGUUUUACACAACUCAGCCGUAUCGUUUAUAUAUCUCAGCCAUGUUGUUUAUAUAA